rnacentral:rRNA from 1 species
AUACGAAGGGGGCUAGCGUUGUUCGGAAUCACUGGGCGUAAAGCGCGCGUAGGCGGUCAUGCAAGUCAGAGGUGAAAUGCCGGGGCUUAACCCCGGAACCGCCUUUGAAACUGUAUGACUGGAGUCUUGGAGGGGGUAGUGGAAUUCCUAGUGUAGAGGUGAAAUUCGUAGAUACUAGGAGGAACACCGGUGGCGAAGGCGGCUACCUGGACAAGUACUGACGCUGAGGCGACGAAAGCGUGGGGAGC